CCUACGGGUGGCUGCAGUGGGGGAUAUUGCACAAUGGGGGAAACCCUGAUGCAGCGACGCCGCGUGUGGGAAGAAGGUCCUCUGGAUUGUAAACCACUGUCCCCAGGGACGAAGAUGACGGUACCUGGGGAGGAAGCUCCGGCUAACUACGUGCCAGCAGCCGCGGUAAUACGUAGGGAGCGAGCGUUGUCCGGAUUUACUGGGGGUAAAGGGAGCGUAGGCGGGACGUCAAGUUCGGGGUCAAAUCUACCGGCGCAACCGGUAGCCGCCGUUAAAACUGCAGGUCUUGAGUGAAGUAGAGGCAGGCGGAAUGCCUGGUGUAGCGGUGAAAUGCGUAGAUAUUAGGAGGAACACCAGUGGCGAAGGCGGCCUGCUGGGCUUUUACUGACGCUGAGGCUCGAAAGUGUGGGGAGCAAACAGGAUUAGAUACCCGAGUAGUC
rnacentral:rRNA from 1 species